GACGUAGGGUCCAAGCGUUGUCCGGAUUUACUGGGCGUAAAGAGCGCGUAGGCGGUCUUGUAAGUGUGAAGUGAAAUCUCCAGGGCUCAACCCGGAAACUGCUUCGCAUACUGCAAGACUGGAGUGAUGGCAGAGGUUUUGUGGAAUUCCUGGUGUAACGGUGAAAUGUGUUGAUAUCAGGAGGAACACCCAUGGCGAAGGCAGCAAACUGGGC
rnacentral:rRNA from 1 species